rnacentral:rRNA from 1 species
GACGAACGCUGGCGGCGUGCUUAACACAUGCAAGUCGAACGGAAAGGCCUCUUUCGGGGGGUACUCGAGUGGCGAACGGGUGAGUAACACGUGAGUAACCUGCCCUUGACUUUGGGAUAACUUCAGGAAACUGGGGCUAAUACCGGAUAGGAGCUCCUGCGGCAUGGUGGGGGUUGGAAAGUUUCGGCGGUUGGGGGUGGACUCGCGGCUUAUCAGCUUGUUGGUGGGGUAGUGGCUUACCAAGGCUUUGACGGGUAGCCGGCCUGAGAGGGUGACCGGCCACAUUGGGACUGAGAUACGGCCCAGACUCCUACGGGAGGCAGCAGUGGGGAAUAUUGCACAAUGGGUGGAAGCCUGAUGCAGCAACGCCGUGUGCGGGAUGACGGCCUUCGGGUUGUAAACCGCUUUCGCUCAUGACGAAGCUUUGUGUGACGGUAGUGGGUAAAGAAGCACCGGCUAACUACGUG